rnacentral:rRNA from 1 species
CAGUAGCCGCGGUAAUACAGAGGGUGCGAGCGUUAAUCGGAUUUACUGGGCGUAAGGCGUGCGUAGGCGGCUUUUUAAGUCGGAUGUGAAAUCCCUGAGCUUAACUUAGGAAUUGCAUUCGAUACUGGGAAGCUAGAGUAUGGGAGAGGAUGGUAGAAUUCCAGGUGUAGCGGUGAAAUGCGUAGAGAUCUGGAGGAAUACCGAUGGCGAAGGCAGCCAUCUGGCCUAAUACUGACGCUGAGGUACGAAAGCAUGGGGAGCAAACAGGAUUAGAUACCCCGGUAGUCCCUGUCUCUUAUAC